rnacentral:rRNA from 1 species
UAGGGAAUCUUCGGCAAUGGACGGAAGUCUGACCGAGCAACGCCGCGUGAGUGAAGAAGGUUUUCGGAUCGUAAAGCUCUGUUGUAAGAGAAGAACGAGUGUGAGAGUGGAAAGUUCACACUGUGACGGUAUCUUACCAGAAAGGGACGGCUAACUACGUGCCAGCAGCCGCGGUAAUACGUAGGUCCCGAGCGUUGUCCGGAUUUAUUGGGCGUAAAGCGAGCGCAGGCGGUUAGAUAAGUCUGAAGUUAAAGGCUGUGGCUUAACCAUAGUACGCUUUGGAAACUGUUUAACUUGAGUGCAAGAGGGGAGAGUGGAAUUCCAUGUGUAGCGGUGAAAUGCGUAGAUAUAUGGAGGAACACCGGUGGCGAAAGCGGCUCUCUGGCUUGUAACUGACGCUGAGGCUCGAAAGCGUGGGGAGCAAACAGGAUUAGAUACCCUGGUAGUCCACGCCGUAAACGAUGAGUGCUAGGUGUUAGACCCUUUCCGGGGUUUAGUGCCGCAGCUAACGCAUUAAGCACUCCGCCUGGGGAGUACGACCGCAAGGNUG